UGUGGUGUCAUCUUGCCCAGGACAGCAGGC
rnacentral:piRNA from 1 species